rnacentral:rRNA from 1 species
CCUACGUGUGGCAGCAGUGAGGAAUAUUGGUCAAUGGACGCAAGUCUGAACCAGCCAUGCCGCGUGCAGGAAGACGGCUCUAUGAGUUGUCACCUGUUUUUGUACGAGGGUACACGCAGAUACGCGUAUCUGUCUGAAAGUAUCGUACGAAUAAGGAUCGGCUAACUCCGUGCCAGCAGCGGCGGUAAUACGGAGGAUUCAAGCGUUAUCCGGAUUUAUUGGGUUUAAAGGGUGCGUAGGUGGUCGGAUAAGUCAGUGGUGAAAUCCCGAGGCUCAACUUCGGAAUUGCCUCUGAUACUGUCCGGCUAGAGAGUAGUUGCGGUAGGUGGAAUGUAUGGUGUAGCGGUGAAAUGCUUAGAUAUCAUACAGAACACCGAUUGCGAAGGCAGCUUACCAAGCUACUUCUGACGUUGAGGCACGAAAGCGUGGGGAGCAAACAGGAUUAGAUACCCGAGUAGUC